AUUGAACGCUGGCGGCAUGCCUUACACAUGCAAGUCGAACGGUAACAGGUCUUCGGAUGCUGACGAGUGGCGAACGGGUGAGUAAUACAUCGGAACGUGCCCGAUCGUGGGGGAUAACGAGGCGAAAGCUUUGCUAAUACCGCAUACGAUCUACGGAUGAAAGCGGGGGAUCUUCGGACCUCGCGCGGACGGAGCGGCCGAUGGCAGAUUAGGUAGUUGGUGGGAUAAAAGCUUACCAAGCCGACGAUCUGUAGCUGGUCUGAGAGGAUGAUCAGCCACACUGGGACUGAGACACGGCCCAGACUCCUACGGGAGGCAGCAGUGGGGAAUGUUGGACAAUGGGCGAAAGCCUGAUCCAGCCAUGCCGCGUGCAGGAUGAAGGCCUUUGGGUUGUAAACUGCUUUUGUACGGAACGAAAAGCCUCUUUCUAAUAAAGAGGGGUCAUGACGGUACCGUAAGAAUAAGCACCGGCUAACUACGUG
rnacentral:rRNA from 1 species